rnacentral:rRNA from 1 species
UACAGAGGUCCCAAGCGUUGUUCGGAUUCACUGGGCGUAAAGGGUGCGUAGGCGGUCGGGUAAGUCUGAUGUUAAAUCUCACAGCUUAACUGUGAAACUGCAUUGGAUACUAUCCGGCUCGAGGAAUGGAGGGGAGACUGGAAUUCCCGGUGUAGCAGUGAAAUGCGUAGAGAUCGGGAGGAACAUCAGUUGCGAAGGCGGCUCUCUGGACCAGCACUGACACUGAGGCACGAAAGCGUGGGGAGCAAACAGG